CCAAAGAAUAUAAUACGAUUGCGAUUGUUAAAGGCGACCCCUGCGUUCGCAGUUUCUCGUGCAUAUCGAGUGCAUAAAGAUAGAAGCGAUACAGUUACGAGAGAAAAACAACAAAGCAAGCUGUAUUUGUGAGCAGUGGCAGAUUUACGUCUCGUGAGAUGCAAAGUUGUAACGUUAUUGUUAACGGUAUGUGCGUGGAACAAGAAUAUGUAUUAAGAAUCGAGGAAAGAUGAUGACGAAAUAAUCCGGAAAAGAGAAACUAUCGCAGAUCAUUACCAACAUACAAAUCUGUCACUGUGCUCGAAUCGACAGUUGGAAGCAAGCGACAAGACACAAGAACUACACUCAGGCCGUGUUGAGUCAAUAAGUUCGGCGAGAGAGAUGUGUGAGAAGCUUGUUAAUGUAUUAAUUCACGAUUGGAAGACACGGGGCGCUCGACGUCGCUCGCAUCUACACCAAUUGGAGUUAUGCCAGCAAUCGUAGAAAGCAGCGAACUGUGGUGCCCUUAACUUACAAAGUGAGCGAGUGGUCGC